AUGUUCACGGCUUUCCAGGUUGACGAACAUACGUUCAAGGUGUGUUCUAUUUUGGGCAUGUCGGAUUCAGAACCUGAAGAUCCGGACAAAGGAAUGAACUACUUCGUGAAAGCCUCAAUAGACCAAGGCGAAUACUACUGCCAAUGCUGCAAGUUUGAACGGGACGGCAUUGUGUGCUGUCACAUACUAAAAGUAAUGGACAUGAACGCUGUGACACGGAUGCCCUGCCAUUUCAUAAGGCGGCGAUGGACUUGGGACGCUGACGACGCGUUGGCGCCGCAAACAACAAACGCAGUUCUGGCUGUGCAUGACGAGAGACCGGAGUCAACCAUGGAAGCCGUGAGGCAUGUUGUGUUGACAAAGAAUUAUGCUGAGCUAAUUGAUGAAGCAUGCAAGAGUGAUGAGACAUCGAGAGUCGCAGAAAAACACAGGAAGGCCCUGGAAAGAGAGCUUGAUGAGAUCAAGAAGAGGAAAGCUGAGGAAGCCUUACAUAGGUUCCCUCGCACAUCAAGUAUGCCUUCGUCCACGGGACCAUCAUCUGAAAACUCAAAGAUAGGAUCUGGAACAGCAAGCACACAAACCCAGGUCAGGAACCCACCCCGUUCCAUCACAAAAGGUCGUCCAAGAGAGAUAAGGUACAAAUCGGGAUUGGAGAUUCAAGCAAAACACAAGAAAACAAAGAAAGGAACGGGCAAUCCAUAA
rnacentral:rRNA from 1 species